UAGGCAGAAGCCCGUUGGUUGGGGCAUAUAGCUGUUAACUAUAGAGUCGUGGGAUCAAAGCCCAUCUGCCUAG
rnacentral:tRNA from 1 species